UGUGUAGGCGGUUCCCUAAGUUUGGUGUGAAAUCUCCCGGCUCAACUGGGAGGGUGCGCCGAAAACUGGGGGGCUAGAGUGCGGGAGGGGAGAGUGGAAUUCCUGGUGUAGCGGUGAAAUGCGUAGAUAUCAGGAGGAACACCUGUGGUGCAGACGGCUCUCUGGACCGUAACUGACGCUGAGACACGAAAGCGUGGGGAGCAAACAGGAUUAGAUACCCUGGUAGUCCACGCCCUAAACGAUGCAUAUUUGGUGUGGGUCAUUCAUUUGAUCCGUGCCGGAGCUAACGCGUUAAAUAUGCCGCCUGGGGAGUACGGUCGCAAGGCUGAA
rnacentral:rRNA from 1 species